rnacentral:lncRNA from 1 species
GCAGCUGUAAUGUUGCCUAAUUGGGUCUCACACCUUCCUGAGGUAAGCACUAUUAUUAGCCAUCAUUAGCUUAGUUUUGCAAUUAAGUAAACAGGCACAGAGAGGCUCAGUAACUUAGAGUUGGGUUUGGGUGUAAGAACUCAACAUUCUUGACCUUCACUGUUGCUCUUCUGCUCUACAAAGUGAGCAGAGCCGGCGCCGCGGCUCACUAGGCUAAUCCUCUGCCUUGCGGCGCCGGCACACCGGGUUCUAGUCCCGGUCGGGGCGCCGGAUUCUGUCCCGGUUGCCCCUCUUCCAGGCCAGCUCUCUGCUGUGGCCAGGGAGUGCAGGGGAGGAUGGCCGAAGUGCUUGGGCCCUGCACCCCAUGGGAGACCAGGAGAAGCACCUGGCUCCUGCCAUCGGAUCAGCGCAGUGUGCCAGUCGCAGCGCGCGGCGGCUGUUGGUGAACCAACGGCAAAGGAAGAAAGGAAGACCUUUCUCUCUCUCUCUCACUGUCCACUCUGCCUGUCAAAAAAAAAAAAAAAAAAUCAGAGUGCUCACCCCCCACCCCCCCACCUGUUGGGCUGUGUCCCAUCUGGGCUUCAGGUCCUCAAUCCAGCAGAUGUGUGUGCACACUGGAUGAUUUCUAAGACAGCAGACAGCUCUGUGGGUCCUCCGGUGGUUUCCCCCUCGGGCCUCAGUCUCCAGCAUAUCCCUACCAUUUCUCUUUUCUCUCUCUGACUCCACCUUGGAUUCCUAAAGCUCUUGGGAGAAAGAGUCCCCUAGCAAAGAGCCCCUCCACAGCAGUCCUGCUGCACCGGCGCAUCUGCUCAGGGACCUGUAUCCUCCCCUGCACUUUCUGCUUGCGUGACCAGAGCUCCAGCAGUAGCCUGAUAGAACGCUUAAGAAAUAGAAUUCUGCUGUGCACAUGGCUUUCCUUAACUCACCUGAGCCUACUGCAAGCUCACAGUACACUUGCCAAGAUUAUCAUUCCUGUUUUAGAGAGGGGUCAGAAACAGAACCUGGCCCCUUUACCAGCUGCUGAAGCCAGGUUGGACCUCCUGCUUCCCGCUGCCCGGUUCCCACCCGCAAACACUGCAGUCUGCCCACGGGUGGCCCCUGGAAUGCAGUCAGGGAAUCGGCCGCAGCCGCUUGAGAAGUUCUUCGGAAAAGCAGGGAGAUACGUGGAGACGUAA